rnacentral:lncRNA from 1 species
CCUACUUUUGUGUUAUAAUCAAAUAAGAUAAAAUGAGCAAAGUGUUUAGAACAGCCUUGAGCUCAACUGGUGCUUAAUCAAGUCUGUUCUCUUUCCAUUCCCUCUUAAUUAUCCACUGAGCCUCUUUUUUCAUUUUGCAACCAGUCUCAAACUUGCUUCUUUGCCAGGUAUGCAUUAUUGCAAGAAGCAAGGCAUUUAAAAUCAAAACAUGGUUAUAAUAAAGGCAGGCAAUUAUCACUCUGGGGGAUUCAGCAAAGGGAGACUCCUUUCCCAUGGCUGCUUUUUCACGUUCGGGUCUUCCAAACCAAUUUUUCUGCAAGAGGGUCUUCUCCGGUGAAUUGAGAAACCACCUACUCCCCCAAAGAGCCAAUCUAGGCAAUGAGAUGCUACCAAGUCGGAGAUGCAGCCCAGCCAGCAUCCUGGCCUUGGUCCUUGGAUCCAGGAUCCCAGAUUUCCCAGCCAGUCACCUGUUGCCAUCACAGUUUGGGGAGGCAUGUUUGCAGGUUUUGCUGUGGAGUCUGGGCCCCCAAGGCACACAGAAGCCUUGUAAGGCAGGCUCCACAUGCCCCACUCAAGCCCAGCCCCUUAUGAACACGCACCACAGAUCAGAUCAUGUAUUCCCUCUCCCGGAAUAAAACGCCCUCCGUAGCCACCCCGAGAACUCACCUGCGGCAGAUUAAGAUCCACUUCCUAUAUCUCUCUCUUCGGAAGGCCUCCCCUCAAGCAAAAGUGCCUUUCUCCUCCGGGGCCACAGUCACGUGGUGCCCGGGACACGCCUCCUUCCCAGACGCUCUCGCUGAGCAUCAGCAUCCCGAUAACGUGGGUGCGCCGCCUUCCCUGCCCGCCCUCCGCUGUGGACGCGGCCGCUUCUCCACCUCCCACCGUCCUCAUUCCUAGCAGAGCGCUUGGCACAGAGAAUGCUUGGUGGACAGCUGUUGACCUGAAUCAAACUGGCAAACGGCAAGACUUAAGCUUCUUCCAACACUGAUAUUCUAUGAUUAAUUUUUAAAAGUGUCUACCCAGUUAAGUUCAUUUUCAGAAUCUAAUUAAAUCCAGCAUAUAUAUUAUGGAGUAGAAAAUUUCACAUUACAACUGAAAUGUACAUAAAAAUGCUGCUUAAAUUUUUUUCUCUAAAUGACCCAUCCUACUUUGAACCUUCAUUGCUUUUUUUCUUCUUUUUUCUUUUUUCUUUUUUUGGAGGAAGAUUAGCCCUGAGCUAUCACCUGCCACCAAUCUUCCUCUUUUUGCUGAGGAAGACUGGCCCUGAGCUAACAUCCAUGCCCAUCUUCCUCUAUUUUAUGUGGGACGCCUGCCACAGCAUGGCUUGCCAAGUGGUGCAUAUGUCCGCACCCAGGAUCCGAACCGGUGAAUUCUGGGCUACUGGAGCAGAAUGUGCGAACUUAACUGCUGCGCCACCGGGCUGGCCCCAGAACCUUCAUUGCUUUUUACUUAAAAUUGCCUUUAAAAUUAACAGUCUCUGGAAUAGGAAAAGAUUUCUUCUGUAUAACACAAAAAGCACUAACCAUAAGGGGAACAUUUAAUAAACUGGACUACAUCAGAAUUAAGAACUUCUGAUCAUGAAAAGACAACCUUAAGUGUGGAAGAGAAGUUACAGACUAAGAGAAGAUAUUUGUAAUAAAUAUAUCCAACAGAGGAUUCAAAAACACAGAGACCUCAUAUGCAUCAAGAGAUAAGAUUGACAGCUCAAUAGAAAGUGGGCAAAUGACUUAAGUGGCACUUUGUGAAAGAGAAUAUUCAGACUCCCAAUGAGUUUACAAAAAAGCGGCUUGCCUUAGUCAGCUCGGGCUGCUGGAACAAAAUACCACAGGCUGAGGGGCUUAAACAGUAGAAACUUAUUUCUCACAGUUCUGGAGGCUGGAAGCCCAAGGUCAAGGUGCCAGCCGGAGGAGCUCUUCCUGGCUUUUAGAUGGAUGGCUGCCUCACUGCUGUCUCCUCACACUGCAGAGGAGGAGGAGAGGGGAGAGAAAGAGCAGAGAGCUCUCUGGAGUCUCUUCUCAGAAGGACACUGAUCCUCUUGGAUCUAGGCCCCAUCCUUAUGAGCUCAUUUAACCCUAAUUACCUCCUUAUAGGCCCUCUCUCCAAAUACAGUGUCACUGGGGUUCAGGCUUGAACAUACGCCUCUGGGGGAGAUACAGUUCAGCUCAUUCAAGGCUCAGUAUAACACUAAUGAAAUACUGCUAUACAUCCACCAGAACGGCUAAAGUUAAAAGGCUGACAGUUCCAAGUGUGGGAGAGGAUGUGGGACAAUUGUAACUCUCCUCCAUUGCAGAUGGGAGAGUAAAUUGGGAUAACCAUGCUGGGAAACUGGCAGGAUCUGCUCCAGCUGAACACCUGCAGACCGUACACCCUAGAAAUGCCACUCCUAGGAAUAUAGUGAAUCAAAGUGGAUGCGUGUGUUUUGAAAAAAGUGUGCAAGAAUGUUCCAGGAGACCUAUUGACAAUUGCUGGAAACCAGAAAUGACUCACCUGCCUGUUAAUGAUAGUGACAGUGCUAUGUGCUGUGCUGUGUCCCCUAAAAUCAGUGUGUUGAAGUCCUAACCCGCAGUACCUCAGAAUGUGACUGUAUUUAAAGAUAGGAGCUUUAAAAAGGUGAUCAAGUUAAAAAGAGACUGUGAAGGUGUGCCCUAGACUGAUCUGCCUGGUGUCCUCACAAAAAGAGGAAAUGUGGAUGCGCAGAAAGAUACCUGACGUGUGUGCACAGAGGAAAGACCGCGUGAGGACAAAGUGAGAAGGCGGCGUCUGCAAGCCAAGGAGAUAGGCCUCAGAGGCAACCAAGCCUACUGACUCCUUGAUCUUGAACUUCUGGCCUCCAGAUUCUGUUGUUUAAGCCGGCCAGUCUGCUGUACUUUGUGGCAGGUGGCCCGAGCUGACUCAGACGGGCGUAUUCCCUCCAUGAGAUGCCACACAGCAGAGGGGCUGCACGAGCCGUGAUGGCACACAGCAGCAUGGGGACAUGUCACAAACAGGAUGGCGGGCCACAGGAGGCAGCCACGAAAGAGCACCAAUGGCACGUGUGCGGCUGCACAAAGUCCAAAUCCAGGCAGAGCCAGCCUGUGGUGCUUGAGGCUUUCACUGAAGUCUGGCAAACGUCCAGAAAAGUGCACGACUGACUUGGGGUAACACCUGCAAGGGGCCUGAGGGGCUGCGGGUGCUGGUAAAUUCGGGGUCUUGAUCUGGGUGCUGGCUACACGGGUGUGUUUACUUUAUUAAGAAAAUGCAUCAGAUUGGGCACUUAGGAUUUGUGCCCUUUUCUGAUCCUUUAAUAAAAACUUGACCGAAAACACUUUACAUAAUCAUGUCCUGCAGCCGAUUUAGAGCGCACGCUCCCUAAGGAGGCCCUUGCUCCUCAGCAAGGCGUCUUCCCCAGCCUUUUCCUCUAAAAACUGAGAUCGGUUAGGUGGGCUCUGCAGGGCUAUCCUUCUCUGCCGGCUCCCACUGGUCUGGACUGAGGUAUACUUCAUCUGACCCAACUUUUGUAUUGCCUCUUCUCACUGUGUCCCCUGCUUAAGAGUCUGUGGCUUGUGUCACCCGUGAUUUGUUUUCUCAGCAUGAGCAAUGCAUUAUAACUUCUUCCAGAAUGAUUGGCUCAGCUCUCACCAGCGUGUGGUGUACUUAGGGUGGUGCAGUACACAACCUACACAACAGUCUAUGGCAACCCUGGUCUUCAUCUCAGCUCCCAAGGUUCUGUGAAGUCUGUGGGACCUAGACACACUCUCCAUCCAUCCCCUACCUAACCUUUGCCCUCAGCUGUUGUCAUGGCUGGGGCCUCCUCAUCCUUCUCUACCCCUCACAAAGACUGCAAGGUAGACAUUCCCUGGAUCUCUUGUGGAAUGGGUAGGUGUGGGUGCCAGAGCCAGGUGAGGGGCGGCUGUGAAGUUGGUUCUGGCCUGUGGAGAAAGCCAAGGAGCCAAGAGCAGCAGACACAAGGAAGAGGGAGAGAGAAUUGUGAGCGAGCCUUAGCUCUCGUCUCUCCUGAGGCCUCAACUUCCUGAGCUUUAAUUACUAAGUCCAGCAAAUUCCCCUUUUGGCCCAUGCUGGUUUGAAAUGGGUUUAUGCCCGCAAGAACCAAAAAAUUUCUGACUAAUACGUCCGUUAAAGGUUUUUUCCCCCAAAGAAGCAGACUUCCUUCAAAGGUGAAUUCGAACUCCUGGCUGGAGGAAAGCAGGAAAGUUUGUUCAAGUUUUGAAAGAGUGAGACAAGUCUGCCCCUUUUCACCCAUUCCCCUUCAGGUCCCCUUCUGCUCACCAAGACUGCGAAGAAGCCGGGCUCAGGCUCAGCUUGAGCGCCCUGUCCACGAACACCAGGCUCGAGAAUUUAGAUCUUUGCUCAACGAACAGAUCACGUGAAUGUGACAUAGUAACACCAGGAAAUACGCUCCCUGACCCAGGAUAUGCCGUGCCGGAUGGACAGAUACAACAGACAUGGGGAGAGGAAGCAAAGUCUCUUUAAUGAUGAGGGGUGUGGAAACGUGUGGAAAUGGUUAGAAAGCAAGAGACGACCCAGCCGGCUUCCAGAGAGAGCCUGGGCCUCGAAGCAGAUGCAAACCUCUCUAAGGAAGAAAGGGGCGGCUACAGCGGGAAUCAAAGACACCAUUUCUCAGCUUUGAGUUUUAAAGUAGUCUUAAAAUUUCAUAGCAAGACAAUGGUCUCGAAAGCCAGACUUUUCAGAGAAAGGUUUUUCUUAAAACUCCGAAGGCUGGAGUUUUCACACAUCAAACAAUCAAAGCUGAGAGAGGUUGAAUGCUCAUUUUGUGAGUCAUAGAGCAGGGCAGAAUGAGGAUAUGACAAAAGGGAAGUUUCUACCCCACAGGAAGGAGAACAGUGAUUUUGAGACUUGGGGAAAGAAUUGAGAAAUGGGGCAAGGAAAUGCAGGCAGGGGUCAGGUGGUGUGCUGGUUCUCACCACCCCUCCCAUUGGGAUCAAACUCCAGGGGUAAGGGAGGACGGGAACAUCCAGGUAGUUUUAGGGCCUCCAAGAACUUCAGGGCUGGUGCCCCCACUUCCCCAGAUGUAGCCUGAGGAGUCUUCACAUCUUUCAGAGGAGCCUUUGGGUCAGCCUGAUACUGCAUCCAACAUGGCGCCCAAGCCAAGGAGUAGAGAUGACUGAGGGAGAUGCUCUGGUGGGUUGGGCCUGAGAUAGCACCCCUGGUUCGUAAUGAUCCAGCAUAUGAUGUGGAGGAGGUCCAGAAGUUCCUGUGUGCCACAGGGGAACCUGAAAAGUAGCUGAGGUGCUAGCUGGUGAGUUCACUAGGACGUCAUCACGGCAAAAGGCAAAGUGACCAGAGCUUCAGGAUGGACUUCUCAAACCAGGGGUCAAAUGGCUUUCCGUGCAGGCCUCAGGGAAGCAGGAGCCUCAGUGAGAGGCAGGUGAGGCCAAGGCAGCCAGGCAGCCUCCAACCCCCAGGCAACAUGUAACUGUGCCGCAAGACCUGAAGACACACAAGCUUCCUCUGCAACCAGCUGCCAUCUUGGAAUGAAGAAGGAGAAGGAAACCCCUUGGGGUGAUGGAGAAACCCAAAGAUGAAGUAAUUACUCAAAAGGAAAUGAUUUUAACCCGAGAGAGUCUGAGAUGCUACAACGGCAAGAACAAGAGUUUUUUGUCUACAGUAGAAAUGAGGUCUCAGGAGAUGAUUGGGAUUUUAUUGAUGGUCAUGUUUUACACAUCCAAGCAAAUUCCACCUUCACAGGAUCCUCAUGACUUCUAUCAUAACAUACGUUAUUUUUUCCAAUUAUGAUGGUAAUAUGAUUUCAUUUUAGAAAAUUUGGGGAACAAGACCAUAGAGAAGAAAACAAAAAUCCCGUCAUCUCAUCAACCAAAGAGAACUACAGUUAACAUCUUUGUUGAUUUCCUUCCAGUCUUUUCUCUAUGUGUACGUGUUUGUGUGUGUAUUACUGUGACUGGACACUUACAUAGCUUGUUGGUUGACAAGAUUCUUUAAUGUCUAAAGCACUUUUGUUUGUGGAAAGGAAUACCCACCACUUUGUGUACUUUGUUUAUUAUCUUUAAAUAAUCACCACUUUAAAUAAUCACCAUUACAAUCACUUCUAAAUAUUCACAGGACUCAUGACCACUAAAUCGAAAAUAUAAGAAGCUAACAAAUUCAGUUUCCCCAAAUGCUUAAACAUUGAUUGAAGUGUGAUCAAUUAAACUUCCCUAAGCAAUUGAUUACCAGUCUCCAAUAUAUAUAGAUUUUCUCAUGUGUUUUAAACGCCUUAAAAUGGAGACAGAACACGCCCACAAUGACAAGGAUUUCUAAACUGGGCAGCGCUUACACUAAAGCUGUUACAGAAGCGCUAAGACCAUGGGUUUACGUCGUAUCUCCAUCAUCUCCUCCUUACUCCUCUGUUGGUUUCUCCCCAGAGGCACGACUGUCUUCCCUUAGCUGAGAGAGCGGGGCUGCCUCGGCACUGGCUGAGGUGGCGUAAAGGGCAACAGGUCAGAGACCGCUCAGAUUAUUGGCUCUGAGUGCUCAGACAGGAUUUGAUUUUUUAUAGUCCUCCUCUUUGCCCCCAAGUGACACUUGCUCUGGGUGUUCUCACUUUGUAGCCCCGCCUGUUAUAAUCCUGCUUUACAAUUGUUCUGGGCAGUGGGGCAACUGACCUGGUUUAGAUAAAAAUUUGCCACACUGAAACGACAGCUUCUCUUUCUCAUUGACUAUUUUGAC